rnacentral:rRNA from 1 species
AACGAACGCUGGCGGCAGGCCUAACACAUGCCAGUCGAGCGGACCCUUCGGGGUUAGCGGCGGACGGGUGAGUAACGCGUGGGAAUAUGCCCUUCUCUACGGAAUAGUCCUGGGAAACUGGGGGUAAUACCGUAUACGCCCUUUGGGGGAAAGAUUUAUCGGGGAAGGAUUAGCCCGCGUUGGAUUAGGUAGUUGGUGGGGUAAUGGCCUACCAAGCCGACGAUCCAUAGCUGGUUUGAGAGGAUGAUCAGCCACACUGGGACUGAGACACGGCCCAGACUCCGACGGGAGGCAGCAGUGGGGAAUCUUAGACAAUGGGGGCAACCCUGAUCUAGCCAUGCCGCGUGAGUGAUGAAGGCCUUAGGGUUGUAAAGCUCUUUCAGCUGGGAAGAUAAUGACGGUACCAGCAGAAGAAGCCCCGGCUAACUCCGUG